CCUGGCCCCUGUUCCCUGAUGGAUGCCCACAGGACCGUGGUUCUGAGUGGCAGCUUGGCAGCCAGUGGUGGAGAAAUCCAUCACACCCUGACAGGAAGGAGAGGGAUGCGACGUGUCGUCCUGCCCAGAGAGGCCAGCUCCUGUCAGCCUAAUGAGGCUCCCAGUGACAGUACAUCUCACUCGCCAGGGGUCAGCCUACCAACAUUUGAGCACCACUGUUUUGUGAGAAUGCCUGAGGCUCCGCUGGCCAGUUCUGUCGUGGAGAAAACCAUCUCCUCCCCAGAUACAGCUGUGUGUGCGUAGUGCACCUUGGAAAAAGUUGAUCUAAAGCCUAAUCCAGAUCCAGAUCUGAACAGAAGUCGAUAGCACAGAAACUCUGAGAGACUUUGCACCUGUGCUCGGUAAUCAGCCAUGGCGUGCAAAGACCUGAGGACGGGGUGCAUGCCAUUCUGGCAGGUAUGGCAAAUUGACAGGACACUGGCAACAAAAUAAAGAAGAAGAAGAAGGAGCUUCAGUUGAAGAGCAGUCACCAUCACUGCGAUGGGCAGAAUUCUGGACCUUGCUGUACGAUCUGCUCCACCGUUCCCAGAGACUCAGGUGGUGCAGUGGCAGAACCGAUCAUCGGAGGCGCUGCAGGCUCUGACACGUUGAUGUAGAGCCGUACACCUCUUCAGUUUGAAGGGCUCCGCUCUGCGCUCACAUCCUAUUAAAUCUACGAGGCUGGAAUGGAUCAGUAAUUACUGAGUGGAGGAACGACUGCAGUGACAUUAGGGUUGGAUUCACUUGAUUUGCAGCACGGGAAGUGUUGAUGAUUUACAUGUGUAGCAGAGAGUCCUGGGUUCCAUUCCCAGAGGAAACGCAUAUCCCCAAUGGCAGCUUCUGUGUGGCACCCUGCCUAUUCUUCUACUGAAACAAUGCUGCACCGUCCUGGAGGAUGUGCUGGACGUAGAAAGAACAACUGACCACAGGUUGGAGGGAAUGUCUGGAGACCAGAGUCUGGAGAGUCUGGCACCACUGAGGUCUGUAGCGUCUACCACCUUAUCUACACACACACACACACACGCACACAUUCGAUCACUCCGCAGUUCUCUCUUUCCACAUCAUCUUGUCUCCCUCU